GAAGCAGGCCAGACCGCCGCUGGCACGAUCGUGGAAACACGGUGCUGGAGGAAGGUCCGGACUGCACAGGGCAGCGCAGGAGCUAACGGCUCUCCACCGCGAGGUGAGGAUCAGAGCAACAGAGACGAGUCUGCGCGGGGCCGCUUCGGGGCAGGGUGUUCUGCGGAGCACCGGCGUCAGCCGGUGCGCGGACGGCGCAAGCCGGCCGUCGUCGGCGAAAGCCGACGCCUAGCAGCCACCCUCCGCGGGGCACAGCCCCGCGGAGGGUGAAACGGGCAAUCUCUGCGCGCAGCAACACCAAAUAGGCACACGUCGAUCCGGCCCGGGGAGUGUGCGGGUAGGUGGCACCGAGCCCCGCAGCGAUGCGGGGCCCAGAGGAAUGGCGGUCACGGUCCCGCGCCCGCAAGGGCAAGGGGCUGCACAGAAUCCGGCCUAUCGGCUCGCUUCACAC
rnacentral:RNase_P_RNA from 1 species